rnacentral:rRNA from 1 species
UUUGGGGCCCCCAGCCCGGGUAAUUCCAGCUCCCAAAGGGGAUAUUAAAGUUGUUGCAGUUAAAAAGGUUGUAGGUGAAUUUUGGGGUUAGUAGGUUGGUCGUGCCUCUGGUAUGUACUGGCCUCAGGAUUCCUCCUUCCUGAGAACCCGCAUGU